GUGCAGCAGGCGCGAAUCCUUCGCAAUGCGGGAAACCGCGACGAGGGGACUCCCAGUGCCUACGCUCAGCGUAGGCUGUUCCCGAGCCUAGAAAGCUCGGGGAGUAAGGGCUGGGUAAGACGGGUGCCAGCCGCCGCGGUAAUACCCGCAGCCCGAGUGGUGGCCACUAUUAUUGGGCCUAAAGCGUCCGUAGCCGGCCCGGUAAAUGCCUGGGUAAAUCGUGAGGCCUAACCUCACGAAUUCCGGGUAGACUGCCGGGCUAGGGACCGGAGGAGGGAGAGGGUACUCCAGGGGUAGGGGUGAAAUCCUGUAAUCCCUGGAGGACCACCGGUGGCGAAGGCGCUCUCCUAGGACGGGUCCGACGGUGAGGGACGAAAGCCAGGGGAGCGAACCGGAUUAGAUACCCGCGUAGU
rnacentral:rRNA from 1 species